AUAUAGCUGAAAAGUUCCACACAGAACAAAACGUGUGUCCUUUAU
rnacentral:hammerhead_ribozyme from 1 species